rnacentral:rRNA from 1 species
GGUAACGGCCUACCAAGUCGACGAUCAGUAGCCGGACUGAGAGGUUGAACGGCCACAUUGGGACUGAGAUACGGCCCAGACUCCUACGGGAGGCAGCAGUGGGGAAUAUUGCACAAUGGGGGAAACCCUGAUGCAGCAACGCCGCGUGAAGGAUGACGGUUUUCGGAUUGUAAACUUCUGUUCUCGUUGACGAAGACAGUGACGGUAAACGAGGAGCAAGCCACGGCUAACUAC